UACGUAGGGUGCAAGCGUUGUCCGGAAUCAUUGGGCGUAAAGCGCGCGUAGGCGGCCCGGUAAGUCCGCUGUGAAAGUCCAGGGCUCAACCCUGGAAAGCCGGUGGAUACUGUCGGGCUAGAGUCCGGAAGAGGCGAGUGGAAUUCCUGGUGUAGCGGUGGAAUGCGCAGAUAUCAGGAGGAACACCGAUGGCGAAGGCAGCUCGCUGGGACGGUACUGACGCUGAGGCGCGAAAGCGUGGGGAGCGAACAGG
rnacentral:rRNA from 1 species